rnacentral:rRNA from 1 species
GACGAACGCUGGCGGCGUGCUUAACACAUGCAAGUCGAACGGAAAGGCCCUGCUUUUGUGGGGUGCUCGAGUGGCGAACGGGUGAGUAACACGUGAGUAACCUGCCCUUGACUUUGGGAUAACUUCAGGGAACUGGGGCUAAUACCGGAUAGGAGCUCCUGCUGCAUGGUGGGGGUUGGAAAGUUUCGGCGGUUGGGGAUGGACUCGCGGCUUAUCAGCUUGUUGGUGGGGUAGUGGCUUACCAAGGCUUUGACGGGUAGCCGGCCUGAGAGGGUGACCGGCCACAGUGGGACUGAGAGACGGCCCAGACGCCUACGGGAGGCAGCAGGGGGGAAUAGUGCACAAUGGGCGGAAGCCUGAUGCAGCAACGCCGCGUGCGGGAUGACGGCCUUCGGGUUGUAAACCGCUUUCGCCUGUGACGAAGCGUGAGUGACGGUAAUGGGUAAAGAAGCACCGGCUAACUACGUG